UUCAUUGUAUUAAAUUGUACUCGAGCACCUGAAGUAUUCGGCCGAGCACUCGGAUGUGCCGAGCAUAGCGAUGCUCGAGACGAACAGCAGUUCGGCCAAGCAUCCUCGCUCAACACUACUGUAGAUAAAUGGUGUCUACAUCAUGAAAGUUUUUUAAUGUUUUCCCACAAUGCUUUCAUGCUAUAAUCUGAUUGGCUACCAGGGGUAAUAUCGUACAUAUGUGGAGUGUGCCCUGUGACACCCCAUUGUCCUUAUUCCUGGUGGUGAUUGCAUGAGUUAUACUUGCACAUAUAGGUAAAAAUAUCCAAAGCAUGUUAUUUUCCAUAUCUGUAGGUCGAUGCUUCCAGCUAUUUCAGUGGACCUUAUUACUUCAUCAGGUCUAUAUAUCGUUUGUUGGGCUUUUUUUUAUGAAUUUCUUAUGAGCCGGCAUGUGUAUUUAUAUGACAUAAAAUUUUAUUUCAAGCGUAUACACCGCUAAUGUGCCUAGUGGUAUCUAGAACAGAGUCAUGGAUACCACACCUACUAAGGGAAUGAAUGUGCUGUAUCGGUAAAACAGUGUAAAUCCAAGGACCUCGUGGAAGACCAGUGAGGGAAUGUACGAUGGCAACCAUGUGCCUUUAUUAUAAAGAUUUAAUAAAUCUCUUGAUAUCAUA